ACAGCUACAGGGAUCGCAUGUCCCAGACAGCCUGAAGUCCUCCGGCAGUCUGUCCUACCGGGAGCUUUCUUUGUGCGUGAGCAGCAAAACCUCAUCCAAGGAGAGGAAGCAGGAAUAAUUGCGUGGCCAGACGAGGAGAGAAAGCGACCUGUUUAACUUCCUAACAAAUUUGUGGCAUCUUAAUCAAUCUUCACAGGGAUGGAUUAUUGGGGUGUCUGAUCCCAUGGACAUGAAAACCGUGUGCAGAAGCAGCACCACUGUCCUUCUCCGAGUUAAACCCGUCCCAAACAGAAAGGAGGAGCAGAAAAGAAGUGGGGAAGGCUGGAGGCACCUCUGAAAGAUAUGACAAGAAAAUCGUGACUGGCCAUCAGCAUUUGGAGCUGUCACCAAGCCAACAUUAGCUCUCUGCUGCCUAACACCAGGCAGACCUGGAGAGACCCACUCUGACCCCUCCAGCAUUGCAGGGAAACCUGUCGUUUGCAAGAGGAUGUUCAUUCACAG